GAUGAAGAACGCAGCGAAAUGCGAUACGUAAUGUGAAUUGCAAAUUCAGUGAAUCAUCGAGUCUUUGAACGCACAUUGCGCCCCCUGGUAUUCCGGGGGGCAUGCCUGUCCGAGCGUCAUUGCUGCCCUCAAGCACGGCUUGUGUGUUGGGCCCCGUCCUCCGAUCCCGGGGGACGGGCCCGAAAGGCAGCGGCGGCACCGCGUCCGGUCCUCGAGCGUAUGGGGCUUUGUCACCCGCUCUGUAGGCCCGGCCGGCGCUUGCCGAUCAACCCAAAUUUUUAUCCAGGUUGACCUCGGAUCAGGUAUGGAUACCCGCUGAACUUAAGCAUAUCAAUAAGCGGAGGA
rnacentral:misc_RNA from 1 species